rnacentral:rRNA from 1 species
AAUAUUGGACAAUGGGGGCAACCCUGAUCCAGCCAUGCCGCGUGUGUGAAGAAGGUAUUCGGAUUGUAAAGCACUUUAAGUUGGGAGGAAGGGCUUUGGGUUAAUACCCUGAAGUUUUGACGUUACCUACAGAAUAAGCACCGGCUAACUCUGUACCAGGUGACGCGGUAAUACAGAGGGUGCAAGCGUUAAUCGGAAUUACUGGUCUUAAAGCGCGCGUAGGUGGGUCGUUAAGUUGGAAGUGAAAGCCCCGGGCUUAACCUGGGAAUUGCUUUCCAAACUGACGAGCUAGAGUACGGUAGAGGGUAGUGGAAUUUCCUGUGUAGCGGUGAAAUGCGUAGAUAUAGGAAGGAACACCAGUGGCGAAGGCGACUACCUGGACUGAUACUGACACUGAGGUGCGAAAGCGUGGGGAGCAAACA